UACGGGGGGAGCAAGCGUUGUUCGGAUUUACUGGCGUAAAGGGCGCGUAGGCGGCCACCGCAAGUCGACUGUGAAAUCUCCGGGCUUAACCCGGAAAGGUCAGCCGAUACUGCGGGGCUAGAGUGCAGAAGGGGCAACUGGAAUUCUCGGUGUAGCGGUGAAAUGCGUAGAUAUCGAGAGGAACACCUGCGGCGAAGGCGGGUUGCUGGGCUGACACUGACGCUGAGGAGCGAAAGCGUGGGGAGCGAACAGG
rnacentral:rRNA from 1 species